UCCUUUUGUAGAUAAUUUAAGGUCUAGCCUGCCCACUGAAAUUUUAAAUGGCCGUGGUAUUUUGACCGUGCUAAGGUAGCAUAAUCAUUAGUUUUAUAAUUAAAAACUGGAAUGAAAGGUUGGAUGAGAAAAUAGCUGUCUCUAUUAAAUUUAAUUAGAAUUUUAUUUUUAAGUUAAAAAGCUUAAUUAUUAUUAAAAGACGAGAAGACCCUAUAGAGUUUAAUUAUUUAGUAAAAAUUAUAUUUUAGUAUUAAUUUAUUUAUUUUAUUAAAUAAUUUAAUUGGGGUGAUUGAAAAAUUUAAUUAACUUUUUUUAUUUAAGAACAUUAAUUUAUGAAUAAAUGAUCCAAUAUUUUUGAUUAUAAGAUAAAAUUACCUUAGGGAUAACAGCGUAAUUUUUUUAGAAAGUUCAUAUUAAAAAAAAAGAUUGCGACCUCGAUGUUGGAUUAAAAUAAAUUUUUGGUGUAGAAGCUAAAAUAUUAGGUCUGUUCGACCUUUAAAAUUUUACAUGAU
rnacentral:rRNA from 1 species